GGCUGGUGAGCUGAUCUGGGCUAGGACGUCGAACGGGGUUGAUUUUGUCCUGGGUCGGAAGCUGAACAAGGUAAGAGUUUUUUGCCCUUGAAUCUGGGAUAAACCUGGGAAACUGGGUCUCAUACCGGAUAUGACCUUCCAUCGCAAGGUGGUUGGUGGAAAGCUUUUGUGGUUUUGGAUGGACUCGCGGCCUAUCAGCUUGUUGGUGAGGUAAUGGCUUACCAAGGCGACGACGGGUAGCCGGCCUGAGAGGGUGACCGGCCACACUGGGACUGAGACACGGCCCAGACUCCUACGGGAGGCAGCAGUGGGGAAUAUUGCACAAUGGGCGCAAGCCUGAUGCAGCGACGCCGCGUGAGGGAUGACGGCCUUCGGGUUGUAAACCUCUUUCAGUAGGGAAGAAGCCGCAAGGUGACGGUACCUGCAGAAGAAGCGCCGGCUAACUACGUGCCAGCAGCCGCGGUAAUACGUAGGGCGCAAGCGUUAUCCGGGAAUAUUGGGCGUAAAGAGCUCGUAGGCGGUUGUCGCGUCUGCCGUGAAAGUCCGGGGCUCAACUCCGGAUCUGCGGUGGGUACGGGCAGACUAGAGUGAUGUAGGGGAGACUGGAAUUCCUGGUGUAGCGGUGAAAUGCGCAGAUAUCAGGAGGAACACCGAUGGCGAAGGCAGGUCUCUGGGCAUUAACUGACGCUGAGGAGCGAAAGCAUGGGGAGCGAACAGGAUUAGAUACCCUGGUAGUCCAUGCCGUAAACGUUGGGCACUAGGUGUGGGGGACAUUCCACGUUUUCCGCGCCGUAGCUAACGCAUUAAGUGCCCCGCCUGGGGAGUACGGCCGCAAGGCUAAAACUCAAAGGAAUUGACGGGGGCCCGCACAAGCGGCGGAGCAUGCGGAUUAAUUCGAUGCAACGCGAAGAACCUUACCAAGGCUUGACAUGAACCGGACCGCCGCAGAAAUGUGGUUUCCCCUUUGGGGCUGGUUUACAGGUGGUGCAUGGUUGUCGUCAGCUCGUGUCGUGAGAUGUUGGGUUAAGUCCCGCAACGAGCGCAACCCUCGUUCUAUGUUGCCAGCACGUGAUGGUGGGGACUCAUAGGAGACUGCCGGGGUCAACUCGGAGGAAGGUGGGGACGACGUCAAAUCAUCAUGCCCCUUAUGUCUUGGGCUUCACGCAUGCUACAAUGGCCGGUACAAAGGGUUGCGAUACUGUGAGGUGGAGCUAAUCCCAAAAAGCCGGUCUCAGUUCGGAUUGGGGUAUGCAACUCGACCCCAUGAAGUCGGAGUCGCUAGUAAUCGCAGAUCAGCAUUGAUGCG
rnacentral:rRNA from 1 species